AUGAACGCUGGCGGCGUGCCUAAUACAUGCAAGUCGAGCGAACAGACGAGGAGCUUGCUCCUCUGACGUUAGCGGCGGACGGGUGAGUAACACGUGGAUAACCUACCUAUAAGACUGGGAUAACUUCGGGAAACCGGAGCUAAUACCGGAUAAUAUAUUGAACCACAUGGUUCAAUAGUGAAAGACGGUUUUGCUGUCACUUAUAGAUGGAUCCGCGCCGCAUUAGCUAGUUGGUAAGGUAACGGCUUACCAAGGCAACGAUGCGUAGCCGACCUGAGAGGGUGAUCGACCACACUGGAACUGAGACACGGUCCAGACUCCUACGGGAGGCAGCAGUAGGGAAUCUUCCGCAAUGGGCGAAAGCCUGACGGAGCAACGCCGCGUGAGUGAUGAAGGUCUUCGGAUCGUAAAACUCUGUUAUUAGGGAAGAACAAAUGUGUAAGUAACUAUGCACGUCUUGACGGUACCUAAUCAGAAAGCCACGGCUAACUACGUG
rnacentral:rRNA from 1 species